UGCCAGCAGCCGCGGUAAUACGAAGGGUGCUAGCGUUGUUCGGAAUUGCUGGGCGUAAAGCGCACGCAGGCGGAUUAGAAAGUUGAGGGUGAAAUCCCAGGGCUCAACCCUGGAACUGCCUCCAAAACUACUAGUCUUGAGUUCGAGAGAGGUGAGUGGAAUUCCGAGUGUAGAGGUGAAAUUCGUAGAUAUUGGGAAGAACACCAGUGGCGAAGGCGGCUAACUGGCUCGGUACUGACGCUGAGAUGCGAAAGCGUGGGGAGCAAACAGGAUUAGAUA
rnacentral:rRNA from 1 species